GACGUAGGGCGCGAGCGUUGUCCGGAUUUAUUGGGCGUAAAGAGCUCGUAGGCGGUGUGUCGCGUCGGCCGUGAAAACCUGGGGCUUAACUCUGGGCGUGCGGUCGAUACGGGCAUCACUAGAGUUCGGCAGGGGAGACUGGAAUUCCUGGUGUAGCGGUGAAAUGCGCAGAUAUCAGGAGGAACACCGGUGGCGAAGGCGGGUCUCUGGGCCGAUGACUGACGCUGAGGAGCGAAAGCGUGGGGAGCAAACAGGAUUGAGAAACCC
rnacentral:rRNA from 1 species